AAGUCCCUAACCAAGGCUGAUUUCCAGAGGUGCCUGCACAGAUGAGGAUGCACUGUGUCCACCCUCUCCUUCCCUACCAGGGGGUCUGCGGGUGCCCUGGCAGUGUGAGCAAACAGCACAUGAUGAACAGCACAAAAGAGCAGCAGACAGACUGCAAAGCAGAUAAACUGUGCAAAGACUGCCCAGUCAUCCCAGGAAAAGAACAAAAUUCACCUGAACCUGCCCACUGGUCCCCCUUUUUCUUCAAGGAGGACUACUUUGCAGAUGUCUCCAGUAUUUCAGGAAACAAACUUAAGAGAAGACAAAGAGCAAGUAUUCUUGUCACAGACAGAUAA
rnacentral:lncRNA from 1 species